AGGGUUUGAUCCUGGCUCAGAACGAACGCUGGCGGCGUGGCUAAGACAUGCAAGUCGAACGGUCCGGAAUUUAUUUGUUUACAAAUGAGCUCCGGAUAGUGGCGUAAGGGUUAGUAAUGGAUAGGUCAACGUGCCCUUUGCUUCGGAACAGCGUUCCGAAAGGAACGGUAAUACCGAAUAAUAUCACUUGUCGAUGGACAGGUGAUCAAAGAUUUAUCAGCAAUGGAGCGGCCUAUUUCCUAUCAGCUUGUUGGUGAGGUAACGGCCCACCAAGGCUAAGACGGGUAACGGGACUGAGAGGUUGUUCCGUAACAUCGGGACUGAGACACUGCCCGGACCUCCACGGAGGGCUGCAGUAACGAAUCUUGCGCAAAAGCCUGACGCAGCGACGCCGCGUGUGGGAGGAAGUCCCUCGGGAUGUAAACCACUGUCAGGGGUAAGAAAGUCCGUUUCGGCGGAUUGAUUCAACCCAAAGGAAGUCACGGCUAACUUCGUGCCAGCAGCCGCGGUAAGACGAAGGUGGCUAGCGUUGUUCGGUGUCACUGGGCUUAAAGAGUGUGUAGGCGGAAGUGUAAGCGCUUUGUGAAAUCCCUCGGCUUAACCGAGGAAUUGCUGGGCGAACUGCGCUUCUUGAGGCAAGUAGGGGUGCACGGAACUCUUGGUGGAGCGGUGGAAUGCGUAGAUAUCAAGAGGAACGCCGGUGGAGAAAUCGGUGCACUGGGCUUGUGCUGACGCUGAGACACGAAAGCGUGGGGAGCGAACGGGAUUAGAUACCCCGGUAGUCCACGCCGUAAACGAUGUCUACUAGGUUGUGGAGGUUCUGACGCCGCCACGACCGAAGCAAAAGUGUUAAGUAGACCGCCUGGGGAGUACGGUCGCAAGGCUAAAACUCAAAGGAAUUGACGGGGGCUCACACAAGCGGUGGAGCAUGUGGAUUAAUUCGAAACAACGCGAAGAACCUUACCUGGGUUUGACAUGCUUGGAUGCGCGCUUGGAAACAGGUUGCGCUACCCGCAAGGGUGAAACUUGCACAGGUGCUGCAUGGCUGUCGUCAGCUCGUGUCGUGAGAUGUCGGGUUAAGUCCUUUAACGAGCGAAACCCUUACCAUUAGUUACCAGCCCGGAGAAAUCCGGGGGGACUUUAAUGGGACUGCCGGUGUCAAACCGGAGGAAGGUGGGGACGACGUCAAGUCAUCAUGGCCUUUAUGCCCAGGGCUUCACACGUGCUACAAUGGCGGCCACAAAGCGAUGCAAAACCGCAAGGUCGAGCUAAUCGCAAAAAUGUCGCCCCAGUUCAGAUUGUAGGCUGACAACUCGCCUGCAUGAAGUUGGAAUCGCUAGUAAUCGCGUAUCAGCUACGACGCGGUGAAUGUGUUCCUGAGCCUUGUACACACCGCCCGUCAAGUCAUGGGAGUCGUAAGUACCCAAAACCGGGUUGUUAACCGAAAGGAAACGCCUGUCUACGGUAAGUGCGAUGACUGGGACUAAGUCGUAACAAGGUA
rnacentral:rRNA from 1 species